AAGCCCUCCGCCGCCAUUGUCUCCUCCUCCUCUCUCUCUCGAUCAGAAAAGAAAAUAAAAAACCCUAGCUUUCUCGGCUCUCGAAGAAACCCUAGUAAUGGCUUCCUACUGUUGUCUUCAUCCUCUCUCCUCGAUCCCCAUCCACAAUCUUCCUCCAUUUCGCCCGGGUUUUGAGGAGUUAUCCGAUGAGGCGAAGAGUGUAGCUCUGAGAGAUUCGCUCCUGCAGAUGAACGAAUUCAUGGAGCAAAUAAAGAUUCGGGUUCUCGAAAUAAUCCCUCUGCAUUGUUGUUCGAAAUGCGAGGAUGAGAUUUUGUUUAUGGUUUCAGAGGGGAAUCGGUUUUCCACUCAGCUUCGAGGGAUGCUUGAAGACUUAAGGGAUCGCUCCGGCCCCGUCUUUAAGCGCCGACGCUCUGUUGGCCUUAAGAUGCAACAAUUCUAGCCAGAAAACAAAUAUGUUUAAUUCAAAAGGACUGGUUCGUUUUCUUAUGGCAAUAUGCAAGGGAGUGGUCAGAUGGAUCGCCGAAACCUGCUACUUUUAGAGGUCCAACUAAUUAUUUGGCAUGUGAAUGCUGUGAUAUUUCUAAUCUGACAUUAAAAUUCACUAUUUUUUAACUGCAAAGAAAGCCAGGAGCUACGAUCACUAGGGAAGUUUGAGCCGAGUCGUCUUUGCAGCUUUCUGUCAAUGUUUUUUGAAGGUCUCUUGUUUUCAGCUUGCACUGUUCCAAUAUCUCCGCUACCUUGACAAUAGCCAUGAGAAAAUGCAGCCGGGAUUGCCUUCUGAGUUCAGGAAACACAGGCACAGCAAGAGAUAAGGAAAUAUUAAAAGGAGGUACAGAGCUUUCAUCGGGAAGCUCCCUUCUAGAGACUCGUUGGAGAAAUCGCCCAGAAUUUCGGAACUCACUUGCUCUUGCUCUUCCAAAGCUCGGUAGUCACAGUAUUGCUUACUUUGUUGGGUCUGUUUUGAGGAUACCAAGUUUCGUGCUAUUGACGUCAGGAGAGUCACCACCAUGGCCGAGGUCAUCCAGCUCGCUAGGUGUUUUUUUGGGUAGCUUUGGCUUUCGGAUUUGUUUGUUUUAGUUAUCUCGGUUUGGUUUUUAGUUUCUUUUUUGGGUAUCAUUUUUUAUUUGUUUAUUUAUUAUUUUAUAAUUAUUGCAACUGUUUCUAAUCUCAUAUAUGUGUAUGUAAAUUCUUUCGACUGUUUUCAAA